rnacentral:rRNA from 1 species
GACGAACCGUGCGAACGUUAUUCGGAAUCACUGGGCUUAAAGCGCGUGUAGGCGGGGUGGCACGUCGGUCGCUGAAAGCCCCCGGCUCAACCGGGGAAGGGGCGCCGAUACGACCACCCUGGAGGGACGUAGGGGGACCUGGAACUUCCGGUGGAGCGGUGAAAUGCGUUGAGAUCGGAAGGAACACCUGUGGCGAAAGCGGCUCACUGGACCAUUACUGACGCUGAUGCACGAAAGCUAGGGGAGCAAACAGG